rnacentral:rRNA from 1 species
AACGAACGCUGGCGGCAUGCCUAACACAUGCAAGUCGAACGAGACCUUCGGGUCUAGUGGCGCACGGGUGCGUAACGCGUGGGAACCUGCCCUUAGGUUCGGAAUAACUCCCCGAAAGGGGUGCUAAUACCGGCUAAUGUCUUCGGACCAAAGAUUUAUCGCCUUUGGAUGGGCCCGCGUUGGAUUAGCUAGUUGGUAGGGUAAAAGCCUACCAAGGCGACGAUCCAUAGCUGGUCUGAGAGGAUGAUCAGCCACACUGGGACUGACACACGGCCCAGAAUCAUACGGGAGGCAGCAGUGGGGAAUAUUGGACAAUGGGCGAAAGCCUGAUCCAGCAAUGCCGCGUAAGUGAUGAAGGCCUUAGGGUUGUAAAGCUCUUUUACCCGGGAUGAUAAUGACAGUACCGGGAGAAUAAGCUCCGGCUAACUCCGUG